rnacentral:rRNA from 1 species
UACGGGGGGGGCAAGCGUUGUUCGGAAUUACUGGGCGUAAAGGGCGCGUAGGCGGUUCGCUAAGUCGGAUGUGAAAACUCUGGGCUCAACCCAGAGCCUGCAUCCGAAACUGGCGGGCUAGAGUUCUGGAGGGGGUAGCGGAAUUCCUGGUGUAGCGGUGAAAUGCGUAGAUAUCAGGAGGAACACCGGUGGCGAAGGCGGCUACCUGGGUCGAGACUGACGCUGAUGCGCGAAAGCGUGGGGAGCAAACAGG